CCUACGGGAGACAGCAGUGGGGAAUAUUGGGCAAUGGGCGCAAGCCUGACCCAGCGACGCCGCGUGAGGGAAGAAGGCUUUCGGGUUGUAAACUUCUAUUAGCAGGGAAGAGAAUGACGCUGUACCCCUUGAAUAAGCCACGUCUAACUACGUGCCAGCAGCCGCGGUAAUACGUAGGUGGCAAGCGGUUUCCGGAUUUACUGGGUGUAAAGGGCGUGCAGCCGGAGAGACAAGUCAGAUGUGAAAUCCACGGGCUCAACCCGGGAACUGCAUUUGAAACUGUUGCCCUGGAGUGUAGGAGAGGUAAUCGGAAUUCCUUGUGUAGCGGUGAAAUGCGUAGAUAUAAGGAAGAACACCAGUGGCGAAGGCGGAUUACUGGACGAUAACUGACGGUGAGGCGCGAAAGCGUGGGGAGCAAACAGGAUUAGAUACCCUAGUAGUC
rnacentral:rRNA from 1 species